GAAGGAAGGGGCAGAGGGUUGAACACAGAAACAGUGUAAAAGCAGCAGUACCACUAGAGCUCAGUGAAGGGUCGAGCCAGUUACAAGAAGAAAGGAACAGAUCCUUUCCCAGUGCCAUUCAUCUUCCUGUGUUAAGCUUCAGCAAUGCUGAAGUCAGCAUCUUCCUAAAUCACCAACGGGAAGUGGGGGGCGGCGCUGAGAGAUGGAGUAACUGCGCACCACGGGGCUGGGAGUGCAGCCCGUGCCUUCUGUUUUCCACCAUCUUGUUUUCAGUGGAGCAGGCUACGACAGGAAGUCUUUGGAGCAGAUAGGCUUGGGCCGAUUUGGAAGGAUGUGAGCCAGGAUUCUCUGAGAAGGCAGCUCUGGCCUCUGCCGGGCUCUCUGGACAUCAGCACUGCGAUGUUCCCUACUGGUAAUCUCCCAUUUGCAGAGAACUGGUCCUCGUGGUGGACUCAGAUGUUGGAUGGAGGAAGAUCAGGAGUUUGCAACUAACCUGAAAUACUCUAAGAAACAAAACAAAAAGACAGGGUUUAGCUACAUAAUGGUGCCCUGGCUGUCCUGGAACUCCCUCUGUAGAGCAGGCUGGCCUUGAAUGCACGGAAAUCUGCCUGCCUUCCCUGAGCGCCUGGAUUGAAGACUUGCACCAUCACCACCCAGCAGAUUAAAAAAAUUAAAAACAGUGAGUGAAGGUGCCCUGAGGGGCUAGCAGAGUGCCUCAGACCCCCUAACACUGGAGUCAGACUAUUGUUAGCUGCCGUGUGGGUGCUGGGUAGCAACCUUCAGUCCUCCUGCUCUUAACCCUGAGCACUCUACAGAACCUCUCCUCCUUUAAAAAUGUAUAUUUGGGGCUGAAGCAAUGACUCCAUAGUUGAAUGCUUCCUGCUUUCAGAGGACCGGAGUUUGGCUCCCAGCAUGCAGUCUGGUAACUCAUGCUGCCUAUACAGCAUCUGAUGAGAGGAUACAGAGAUCUGAUGUCCUCUCCUGGCCUCUGCCAACCUGCAGCAUACACUUUCAGAGACAUAUAUUCAUCAGACAAAAAUUCAAGAAAAGAAGUCUUUAAACUGUCUGUUUCCCUCUCCUGAGAUUGAGACCGUUAAGUGGUAGGUAGAAGUUAGCACUACUGUGGACAAGCUGCGGCCUGCAUGGAGGGAGGCCUGCCUGAGCUGUGCUUCACAGUACUUAUCACCAGAAUUAACAUUUCCAAGUCAGCCUUCAAACGGCCUCGACACCAGUGGCUGUCCAGGGAGCACUGAGACUCAGCUCUGUCGGAACUGCGGAGGAAUCAGCUUUCUGGAGUGAGCAGCUAUCGUGUCUCUGGCCUUCCAGCACGGAUCACUGGUGGACAACCCAGACCUACAGCUAAAGUCAAUCUCAAUUCGGUAAAUCUUUUUAUAAUCUAUUUACUUGGCUCACUUGCUCUAGAGAACCCUGUAGAUCAAUCUCUCUAUGUACACCCUGCUGACCUUGUCAGAUAAUCAUGACUGAGUUCACUUAGGGCGCCUUCUUUGAUGCAUUUACAUAAAAAUUGAGUAAACUAUUGGUAAACACUCAGUAAGCGGUGGUAACAUUUCGGACUUAAAAUCAAAGUGCAAUGAUUAGGCACAAAGCAUGCCAAGGGUUUGCUCUCUAGCACUGCAGGAAAUAUAUAAACAAAUGAAAAUAAAGUCCAAACAAUUUUCAGGCCAAUGAAAUUACCCUAUAAGUUCAUAUUUAAAUAAAACACUUUAUUACUCUGU